rnacentral:rRNA from 1 species
UUAUGGCUCAGGAUGAACGCUGGCGGCGUGCUUAACACAUGCAAGUCGAACGGAGUUUUAACGGAAGUUUCGGAUGGAAGUUAGAACUAGUGGCGGACGGGUGAGUAACGCGUGGGUAACCUGCCUCAUACAGGGGGAUAACAGUUAGAAAUGACUGCUAACACCGCAUAAUAUAGUGAAACCGCAUGAUUUUGCUAUCAAAUAUUUAUAGGUAUGAGAUGGGCCCGCGUCUGAUUAGCUAGUUGGUGGGGUAAAAGCCUACCAAGGCGACGAUCAGUAGCCGGCUUGAGAGAGUGACCGGCCACAUUGGGACUGAGACACGGCCCAAACUCCGUACGGGAGGCAGCAGGUGGGGAAUAUUGGACAAGUGGGGGAAACCCUGAUCCAGCCGACGCCGCGUGAGUGAAGAAGUAUUUCGGUAUGUAAAGCUCUAUCAGCAGGGAAGAUAAUGACAGUACCUGACUAAGAAGCCCCGGCUAACUACGUGCCAGCCGCGGC